rnacentral:rRNA from 1 species
UACGUAGGUGGCAAGCGUUAUCCGGAAUUUAUUGGACGUAAAGCGCGCGCAGGCGGUUUCUUAAGUCUGAUGUGAAAGCCCACGGCUCAACCGUGGAGGGUCAUUGGAAACUGGGGAACUUGAGUGCAGAAGAGAAAAGCGGAAUUCCACGUGUAGCGGAUGAAAUGCGUAGAGAUGUGGAGGAACACCAGUGGCGAAGGCGGCGUUU